rnacentral:rRNA from 1 species
AGGGUGUAAACGCUGCAGACUUGGUGUUGGAAAUCCUUCGAGGGUAUUCAGUGCCGGAGAGAAGUUGUUAAGUCUGCUACUUGGGGAGUACGUCCGCAAGGAUGAAACUUAAAGGAAUUGGCGGGGGAGCACCACAACGGGAGGAGCGUGCGGUUUAAUUGGAUUCAACACCGGAAAACUCACCAGGGGAGACUGUUACAUGAAACCCAGACUAAUGAUCUUGGUUGAUUUUCAGAGAGGAGGUGCAUGGGCGUAGUCGUGU